GGGAGACACGGGAAAAUCGGUACACACGUUGUUGAAGAAAAUAUACAACGCCCGUUUGAUUAAUUCGCCGCAAUAUGUGACACAUAGAUACGUAUAUACGUAUAUAUAUAUUGCGCCAUUAUUAACUGAACUCCACUCGGGAUCGUUUUUUCCGUGGGCAAUAGUUUGUCGUUGCUUGCGUGUACGCGUGGAACCCGCCCGGCGGCAGGCGCGUCCGUGUCCGUCAUUGCGCCGCGACGUGUUUUAUCCGUUUAGUAGCUUCUGUUCGGUUCCCUUUUGGUUGACGGUCGGUCGGUCGGCUUUCGAUGCAACGGAACGUGUGUCGGUAUGUGUGUCGGGCAUGCCCCCGACGGUGUCUAAUCGAUUAUCCCCGCUAUAUUUUUUUUUUUCACGGAGGUGUACGCCUAACCGGACGUUAAUGUUUGGACGUUUUCCU